CACGACUUUUCUUACCGGUUGAAGUGCAGAUUAUCUUCUUCUUUGCUGCUUGGCAAGUUUAUUAGUGGAUGUAGAACAAGGUCCGUCUGACGUUGGAUGGCGAUGCAACGCUAAUUCGGCACCUGCAAAUCUCGUUUGAAAUCAGAACCCCAGACUCCACAGAACCUCAGACUCCACAGAACCCCAGACUCCACAGAGCCUCAGACUCCAG